AGAGUUUGAUCAUGGCUCAGGAUGAACGCUGGCGGCGUGCUUAAUACAUGCAAGUCGAACGAUGAUCUCCAGCUUGCUGGGGGGAUUAGUGGCGAACGGGUGAGUAACACGUGAGUAACCUGCCCUUAACUCUGGGAUAAGCCUGGGAAACUGGGUCUAAUACCGGAUAUUGACGUUCUGCCGCAUGGUGGGGUGUUGAAAGCUUUUGCGGUUUUGGAUGGACUCGCGGCCUAUCAGCUUGUUGGUGGGGUAAUGGCCUACCAAGGCGACGACGGGUAGCCGGCCUGAGAGGGUGACCGGCCACACUGGGACUGAGACACGGCCCAGACUCCUACGGGAGGCAGCAGUGGGGAAUAUUGCACAAUGGGCGCAAGCCUGAUGCAGCGACGCCGCGUGAGGGAUGACGGCCUUCGGGUUGUAAACCUCUUUCAGUAGGGAACAAGGCCGGGUUUUGCCUGGUUGAGGGUACCCGCAGAAGAAGCGCCGGCUAACUACGUGCCAGCCGCCGCGGUAAUAC
rnacentral:rRNA from 1 species